UUCGUCUCUUGUGCUGUCUCCUGUCCCUGUUGCUCCCGCGCGCUGGCCGGUCCGCGCUGUGCCAGGGGGUAUUGGUCAUCUCGCGGCUCAGUUCACAGUAGCUGAAAGGGACAGUGUGUGAUGUUCUGAUUUCUCCCCAUCGUUUUCAAAGGGAAGCUCUGGCCAUUGCUCCUCGGGUAGAAUGCAGAGGGAGUGCUUUUUAAGAUGCGACUGUCAGUGUUGGGGACACUCCUUAAUUACCAAAAUGGAAUCCCCUUCAAUUCCUCAAGCUGUGUUGUUUUGGCAUAGAAAAUGUGAGUAAUAGGAACUGGAACUAAGUUUGAGUGAAAAAACGCACUGAUCCCGCCGAAUUUUCCAUCGAAACAGUUGAUUUGUGUUGUCUCUAGGAAUUCUAAAGGGCGUACUGUUGCUUCCUAACCGGUGUCAUUUGAGAGAUCUACCUCUGUACGUUCAAAUGAUUAAUUUUGAGACUUUGCUCAUGGGUGCAGUAAACCCUUUAAUUCCCUAAGACCUUCCUUUCCUCCAUCCCAUACCCUGUUAAGCCCGCUUCAGUUUAUCUCCAGAAUUUAUUUGGAAUCUGUCAGCUCUUCCCCAACAUCCUAAUCCUGAACUUGCCUGUCUGUUGCGACUAGGUCCUAACUAGUGUCCAUAUAUCUUGUUUCCUUCCAAUCCAUUUUUCACACAAGACACCUUAAAAGCAAGUUGGAACAUUGCUCAUAAACAUCGCUCACAAACAUUGUUUUGAGAAUAGAAAACACACUGUUGGCCUUUAAGACUCUGCGUGGUCUAGAAUCCUCUCUGCUUCUCUAGCCCCAUCUUGUGCCACUUUUGCCCUCACUUUCUAUGCUUCAGAUACACUGAAUUAACCUUAGUUCUAACUCAUGUGACAGAAGUCAGUUCAGAUAUUAUUUUUCACUGUGAUUCCUAGCAUUAAGGAAUUUGAUUAUCAGGUUUUGUAUGAGGACUAAAACUAAACUGGGAAGUGGAAGAAUUGAGUUUAAACUAUUUCAGUCGACACGCAUGUAUUAAUGAUACUUAAGUAUUCAACACCGGGCUAGGUUUCAUCAGGGAUACAGAAGUUCUGGCCAUCUCUGGUUUUGGAUAUCCCUUAUUUGUUGAGACCUUUGCGUUGUCUGGUUGCCUUUUGUCUGUUUUCCAGAUGGGAAAACAGGAACAAGGGAAGUAUAGGUUAUUACUAGGUGGGGUUGAAUAAGUGGAGCAGCAAAAUGCAAAGCAGAAAGAAGAGGGACGUACUCUAGAGGGAUAUGAUUUCCAUUUUCAAGGCGCCUUCGUCCUAUGCAGGGAGACAGCCUAACAUAAAAUGUGCCUAACAAAAAAGAUAUUAAUAGGUGGAAAGACUAUCUCCCAGUUGGACAGCGGAUGCCUGGGACUCGUUUCAUUGCUUUCAAAGUUCCUUUAAUACAGAGUUUUGAAAAGAAUCUUGCUCCAGAAGAAUGUUUUUCCCCCUUGGAUCUUUUUUAACAAAAUCCAAGACCAGAAUGAAGAACUUGGGCUGAUUAUUGACUUAACAUAUACUCGCCGCUCUUAUAAGCCAGAGGUAAAUGGAACCGGUAAUUGAAAAUGACCUUCUUUCUGAUACUGUAAUAAUUCAUAGUAAUUCAGUAGUUAUCAUCUUAUGCUAAGGUGAAUCCUUGCCUUCUUUCAUGGGUUCAAAAAGGGAAGCUAGUGGUUUCCUUAAAUACACAUUUCUAAUUGCUGUUUCAAAAUGAGAUUAAAGAUAUGAAUUGAACUAUAGUAUUUGGCAGUAGGUUCUAGAUAUGCUUAAGAAAUUCUGUAAGCUUCCAUGUUCUAUAUUUUUAAAAUGAAGUAAACUUUUAGUAAGAAUAGUAGUAGCCUAAAAGGAAAGAAAGGUAUGACCAUUAUGUCUUGAGCACUUAUUUUAAGCAGUUGCCUGAGCAUGUUUAAGCAUCACGGUAAAAGACAAUUGUUCUCUAAGUUUUAUGCCUUCUUUUUCUAAUACCUUCUGAUACAAUACAGAAACCCAUAUAUUCUCUUGGCCCAUGUAGAAUAUACGAGUGCAAAAGAAUUAUCCUUCUUCUGACCUGUUCCAUGGCCUUGGGAGACAGUAACACCAAAUGUUUGUUAAUAUUUGUAUAGCAGUUUGCCAUUUAGAAAGUUCUUUCCUAUCCAUUGACUUAGUUAAUCUUCACAACAGUCCUUUGCUGUUGAAGUGGAAGUAGUACUGAUCUCUCCUACUGAGUGCUUACUCUGCACUUAGCUCAGAGGAUAGACAACUACAAUUACUAAUUUUACAGACGAUGAAACUGACUCUCGGAAAAGGAAGAAUUGAAAUUUCAACUCAGUUAUUCCUCUUUUUUUUAAAUUGUGGUGAAAUAUACAUAAAUAAUAUUUAUUUUAACCAUUUAUAAAUAUGCCGUUCAGUGGCAUUCAAUACAGCCACAGUGUUGUAUAACCAUCACCACUGUGUAUAACCAAAACUUUUUCAUCAUCCUCAACGAAAACUCUGUAACCAUCAAACAGUAACAACCCCAUUUUCCCUCCCACCAGCCCUUAGUAAACUCUAUUCUAUUUUCUGUCUCUAUGAAUUUGCCUAUUCUAGGUACCUCGUGUGAGUGGAAUCUACAAUAUUUGUCCUUCUAUGUCUGGCUUAUUUCAGUAAACAAUGUUUUCAAGGUUCAUCCAUGUUAUAGCAUGUAACAAAAUGCCAUUCCUUCUUUGGCUUAAUAAAUCCCAUUGUGUGUAUAUGCCAUAUUUUGUUAUUCAUCGGUUGAUUGACACUUGGGUUGUUUCC